GCCUGGAUAGCUCAGCUGGUUAGAGUGUGGUGCUGAUAAUGCCAAGGUUGCAAGUUUCUGCAUUGCAGGGGACUGGACU